UAAUAUUAAAACCUAAUCCCUAUGGAUUAAUAAUUAUUUAUGAAUAAUAAAACAUUAUUCAAUUUUUUUUACAUUUUAUAAGGGUUAAGUAUUUAUUUAAGUACCUUAAAUAAAGGCACUAAAUAAAUACCUAAUUUUUAUUAUCUUUUCCUAGGGUUUAAGAAUUUUAAUCAUAAGGAAAAAUAAAACACACCUAAUAAAAUUGGUUUCACUAAUUUUGGACAUUUCUACAAAUUAAAAUGAAUUAAAUAUAAAAAUAGAAUUUAAAUCUAAUUUCUAAAACCCCUAAUCCAAUUUCUCCCCAAAACCCCCUAGAAAACUCUUCUCACUCACCCCGCCCUACCC
rnacentral:lncRNA from 1 species